CUUCACCGACCCCAGCCACAACGGCUCCACCCGGUCCCGGCCAUAGGUCGCCAGCAGCGCCUGCGCCUC
rfam:Streptomyces sp. NRRL B-3648 P438contig124.1, whole genome shotgun sequence.